UCGAAUUCAAAUCUCGUCACACUUAGAGAUCUCGACACUUAGAGAGAAAAAGAGAAGAAGAAGAAGAAACGGUUCGGGGGGAGAGAGUGAGAGAAACUCGAUUAGGGAUUGGAGUUUUUAAUUUUUUCAAAUUUUUUUUUUUCUUUUUUAUUAUUUCGAGUUUCUGGGUUAUAUUAAUGAGUGGGUGGAUAUAUCCAGGUUUUUGAUGUAAUAAUACAGUUUUGACGAGGAUACAGUUAUAAUUGAAGUGUUUUUCGAUUUAAAUAUAAAACAAAAAACAAAGAAAGAAUAGAAAGGGAGAAUAGC
rnacentral:lncRNA from 1 species